rnacentral:rRNA from 1 species
CUGAUACUGGCAAGCUUGAGUCUCGUAGAGGGGGGUAGAAUUCCAGGUGUAGCGGUGAAAUGCGUAGAGAUCUGGAGGAAUACCGGUGGCGAAGGCGGCCCCCUGGACGAAGACUGACGCUCAGGUGCGAAAGCGUGGGGAGCAAACAGGAUUAGAUACCCUGGUAGUCCACGCCGUAAACGAUGUCGACUUGGAGGUUGUGCCCUUGAGGCGUGGCUUCCGGAGCUAACGCGUUAAGUCGACCGCCUGGGGAGUACGGCCGCAAGGUUAAAACUCAAAUGAAUUGACGGGGGCCCGCACAAGCGGUGGAGCAUGUGGUUUAAUUCGAUGCAACGCGAAGAACCUUACCUGGUCUUGACAUCCACGGAAGUUUUCAGAGAUGAGAAUGUGCCUUCGGGAACCGUGAGACAGGUGCUGCAUGGCUGUCGUCAGCUCGUGUUGUGAAAUGUUGGGUUAAGUCCCGCAACGAGCGCAACCCUUAUCCUUUGUUGCCAGCGGUCCGGCCGGGAACUCAAAGGAGACUGCCAGUGAUAAACUGGAGGAAGGUGGGGAUGACGUCAAGUCAUCAUGGCCCUUACGACCAGGGCUACACACGUGCUACAAUGGCGCAUACAAAGAGAAGCGACCUCGCGAGAGCAAGCGGACCUCAUAAAGUGCGUCGUAGUCCGGAUUGGAGUCUGCAACUCGACUCCAUGAAGUCGGAAUCGCUAGUAAUCGUGGAUCAGAAUGCCACGGUGAAUACGUUCCCGGGCCUUGUACACACCGCCCGUCACACCAUGGGAGUGGGUUGCAAAAGAAGUAGGUAGCUUAACCUUCGGGAGGGCGCUUACCACUUUGUGAUUCAUGACUGGGGUGAAGUCGUAACAAGGUAACCGUAGGGGAACCUGCGGUUGGAUCACCUCCUUACCUUAAAGAAGC